rnacentral:rRNA from 1 species
CGGCGCACGGGUGAGUACGCGUAUGCAACCUACCUUUGGCACGGGGACAGCCCGGGGAAACCCGGAUUAAUACCCGGUAUAGUCUAUUAUACAUCUGUAUAAAAGACGAGAGCUACGGCGGCCAAAGAUGGGCAUGCGUGCCAUUAGUUAGUUGGUAGGGUAACGGCCUACCAAGGCAUCGAUGGCUACGGGGUCUAAAAGGAUGAGCCCGCACACUGGUACUGAGACACGGACCAGACUCCUACGGGAGGCAGCAGUGAGGAAUAUUGGUCAAUGGGUGGAAGCCUGAACCAGCCAUGCCGCGUGCAGGAAGACGGCCUUAUGGGUUGUAAACUGCUUUUCUACGGGACGAACGGCUCUGACGUGUCAGAGAUUGACGGUACCGUAGGAAUAAGCAUCGGCUAACUCCGUGCCAGCAGCCGCGGUAAUACGGAGGAUGCGAGCGUUAUCCGGAUUUAUUAGGUUUAAAGGGUGCGUAGGCUGGGCAAUAAGUCAGUGGUGAAAGUCCGCGGCUCAACCGUGGGAUUGCCAUUGAAACUGUUGUUCUUGAGUACAGUCGAGGUAGGCGGAAUGUGUAAUGUAGCGGUGAAAUGCAUAGAUAUUACCCAGAACACCGAUUGCGUAGGCAGCUUACCAGCCUGGAACUGACGCUGAUGCACGAAAGCGUGGGGAGCGAACAGGAUUAGAUACCCUGGUAGUCCACGCCGUAAACGAUGAUCACUCGCUGUUGGCAAUAUAGAGUCAGCGGCUGAGCGAAAGCAUUAAGUGAUCCACCUGGGGAGUACGUCAGGCAACGAUGAAACUCAAAGGAAUUGACGGGGGCACCGCACAAGCAGGUGGAACAUGUGGUUUAAUUCGAUGAUACGCGAGGAACACUUACACUGGGCUUAAAUGUAGCCGGACGAUUCCGGAAACGGGAU